GACGAACGCUGGCGGCGUGCUUAACACAUGCAAGUCGAACGGAAAGGCCCUGCUUUUGUGGGGUGCUCGAGUGGCGAACGGGUGAGUAACAUGUGAGUAACCUGCCCUUGACUUUGGGAUAACUUCAGGAAACUGGGGCUAAUACCGGAUAGGAGCUCCUGAUGCAUGGUGGGGGUUGGAAAGUUUCGGCGGUUGGGGAUGGACUCGCGGCUUAUCAGCUUGAUGGUGGGGUAGUGGCUUACCAAGGCUUUGACGGGUAGCUGGCCUGAGAGGGUGACCGGCCACAGUGGGACUGAGAUACGGCCCAGACUCCUACGGGAGGCAGCAGUGGGGAAUAGUGCACGAUGGGCGGAAGCCGGAUGCAGCAACGCCGCGUGCGGGAUGACGGCCUUCGGGUUGUAAACCGCUUUCGCCUGUGACGAAGCGUGAGUGACGGUAAUGGGUAAAGAAGCACCGGCUAACUACGUG
rnacentral:rRNA from 1 species